AUUACUUUUGGGCCUCUUGGUUAAGAUCAAAUAUAGUAUCUGUUCUUAUCAGUUUAACAUCUGAGUCAUUCUUCAUCUAACAUGGCCCACACUGAAUAACUCUU
ensembl:snRNA LOC120095483 U2 spliceosomal RNA